rnacentral:rRNA from 1 species
AGAGUUUGAUCCUGGCUCAGGAUGAACGCUAGCGAUAGGCUUAACACAUGCAAGUCGAGGGGCAGCAUGGUCUUAGCUUGCUAAGACUGAUGGCGACCGGCGCACGGGUGCGUAACGCGUAUGCAACUUGCCUCACAGAGGGGGAUAACCCGUCGAAAGACGGACUAAUACCGCGUACACUCCAUCUUGGGCAUCCAAGGUAGAGGAAAUGAAAUUCGCUGUGAGAUAGGCAUGCGUCCCAUUAGCUAGUUGGUGAGGUAACGGCUCACCAAGGCGACGAUGGGUAGGGGAACUGAGAGGUUGAACCCCCACACUGGUACUGAGACACGGACCAGACUCCUACGGGAGGCAGCAGUGAGGAAUAUUGGUCAAUGGGCGAGAGCCUGAACCAGCCAAGUCGCGUGAAGGAUGACUGUCUUAUGGAUUGUAAACUUCUUUUAUACGGGAAUAACAAGAGUCACGUGUGACUCCCUGCAUGUACCGUAUGAAUAAGCAUCGGCUAACUCCGUGCCAGCAGCCGCGGUAAUACGGAGGAUGCGAGCGUUAUCCGGAUUUAUUGGGUUUAAAGGGUGCGUAGGCGGCCUGUUAAGUCAGCGGUGAAAUCUAGGAGCUUAACUCCUAAAUUGCCAUUGAUACUGGCGGGCUUGAGUGUAGAUGAGGUAGGCGGAAUGCGUGGUGUAGCGGUGGAAUGCAUAGAUAUCACGCAGAACUCCGAUUGCGAAGGCAGCUUACUAAGGUACAACUGACGCUGAAGCACGAAAGCGUGGGUAUCAAACAGGAUUAGAUACCCUGGUAGUCCACGCUGUAAACGAUGAUAACUGGGCGUAUGCGAUAUACAGUAUGCUCCUAAGCGAAAGCGUUAAGUUAUCCACCUGGGGAGUACGCCGGCAACGGUGAAACUCAAAGGAAUUGACGGGGGCCC